rnacentral:sRNA from 1 species
GGGAAGGCAUGGCCCUGACCUUAGAGGCCCCAAUUUGGCGAUGGGGCAUCACAUCCCUCCGGGCAUCUCAGAGCUGCCUGCCCGAGGGAGGCGACGCAGAUGGAAAGCCCCCCAGCCACGUCUCUCAGAGGAAACGGGUCUCCUCUUUGGCCAGCCAGGUCCUCUUCCCCCGGGUGCCGCCUGGCUGUGCGACCCGGCAGUCCUCCCGCCUCUCCGGGCCUCAGCCUCCUCUCCUGGACAGUCCCGUGGGCUUCCGGGAGCCCGGUGUCACACCGCCCCGCGUGUCGCAGGUGGUCAUCGUGGUGACAGACGGGAGGCCCCAGGACAGCGUGCAGGACGUGUCUGCGCGGGCCCGGGCCAGCGGCGUCGAGCUGUUCGCCAUCGGAGUGGGCCGCGUGGACAAGGCCACGCUGCGGCAGAUCGCCAGCGAGCCGCAGGACGAACACGUCGAUUACGUGGAGAGCUACAGCGUCAUCGAGAAGCUGUCCAGGAAGUUCCAGGAGGCCUUCUGCGUGGUGUCAGACCUGUGCGCCACAGGGGACCAUGACUGUGAGCAGGUGUGCAUCAGCUCCCCGGGAUCCUACACCUGCGCCUGCCACGAGGGCUUCACUCUGAACAGCGAUGGCAAGACCUGCAAUGUCUGCAGUGGUGGUGGUGGCAGCUCGGCUACUGACCUGGUCUUCCUCAUUGACGGAUCCAAGAGUGUGAGGCCAGAGAACUUUGAGCUGGUGAAGAAGUUCAUCAAUCAGAUCGUGGAUACGCUGGACGUGUCAGACAAGCUGGCCCAGGUGGGGCUGGUGCAGUACUCAAGCUCUGUGCGCCAGGAGUUCCCCCUGGGUCGCUUCCACACCAAGAAGGACAUCAAGGCGGCUGUGCGGAAUAUGUCCUACAUGGAGAAGGGCACAAUGACCGGGGCUGCUCUCAAGUACCUCAUUGACA